GAGAGAGAGAGAGACAGAGAGUGUGAAAGAAAGGGGGGUGUCACAGAGACUACCACAUCAGAGAAACCCACCUCCCUCCCCUCUUGCUCCUCACGAAAUGCACCUGCCAGCACCAAAGUAAGACAGCCGCUCCUGAAAGCAUGUAAACAAAACCAAAGCUGGGAGAAACCUUGCAGCAUCGUAAGCAGGGCGCCGAUAGAUUUCCUUUGGAGACUCUGCAUUUUGGAUAAUGAAGAGGAGCAGGUGGGCGAAUAGAUUCUGUCACAGUCUACAAGACGCAAGGACACUGGCAUUGUGGGUGACUGAUAAAGAGCUGGCCUUCAUGCAUGAGAAGGGAAUAAGGGAUCCCUCACUCUGUCUCUGUGAAGCCAAAUAAAUAAACAGAGAGCACACAAGUGGAUGGAUAAUCAGUAGAACAGCAGGCACACCGAAUCAUAGACAAGAUUAUUGACAAGCAGUAAAACUGCAAGACAGUGAUGCCAAAGUGUCCUCAUUUAAAAAACACAAGGACCAUUUUCAGCUUCAUAAAUACUCAAAGAUACUCUUAAUGUUUUUUUUUGUCUUACCUGAGGCCAGCUGAGCCACAUCUGGAUCCUCUUGUACCUUCCAUGAUUCAGGUUUAUCAGCAAAUGAGUGAUGAACCGGAAUAAUUAUCCUUCCACCUAAACAAUGAAGAAAUAGAAAAAAGUCUGAUAACAAAGGGCUCAGAAGAAUAUACCGUGUUGUAUUAUGCGUCAUGGACCCAUUUUGUGGAAAGAAACAUGUUGUCCUUUUGUACAGAAUCAUUAACAACACGUUGCACAAGGCUUGGUCAAGUUCUCAAAGGACUAGCUAAUCAUGGUCUCUUCACCUACAGAAUAAUAGCCUCUUUGUUCAUAAAUUAACAGAGGACAAAUAACAGGGUUGUAUUCCAGUGAACCAUAGAGGAGAAAUUCACCACAACAGGUCAUUAUGACUGUAUUGCAGCGGAGUUAUUGUCUGCAUGCUGCUAUUACAAUUAUUAUGGUUGUAAGAUGUAAUAAUAAUAAUAAUACAUGUAAUUUGUACCGCACUUUUCAUUCAAAGUGCUACAGUAUUAACCCCUUGACAACCCUUUAAAUUUAUGUAAAAUUAACCUAAAACGCUUAUCCAAGGCAUACCUUAAGUAAACUGAAAGCUGUUCUUGAACCAUUAGGAGUAGAUGCAUGGUUUUGGUCUCUUUUGAAAGGUAACACUGAUGUUUUUUUCCAUAACAGUCAGAAUCACUGUAAGUGCUGCUGGCAUUGAUUAAUAGAUGUUUGAACACACUGAAGUGGAAUGUUUUUAUUUCUGCCUGAAUAU